rnacentral:rRNA from 1 species
UACGUAGGCAGCGAGCGUUGUUCGGAGUUACUGGGCAUAAAGGGUGUGUAGGCGGUUUCUUAAGUCUGGUGUGAAAUCUCCCGGCUUAACCGGGAGGGUGCGCCGAAUACUGAGAGACUCGAGUGCGGGAGGGGAGAGUGGAAUUCCUGGUGUAGCGGUGAAAUGCGUAGAUAUCAGGAGGAACACCGGUGGUGUAGACGGCUCUCUGGACCGUAACUGACGCUGAGACACGAAAGCGUGGGUAGCAAACAGG